rnacentral:rRNA from 1 species
UUGCUCGGAAUCACUGGGCGUAAAGCGCACGUAGGCGGUCUCUUAAGUCGGUGGUGAAAUCCUGGAGCUCAACUCCAGAACUGCCUUCGAUACUGAGAGUCUUGAGUCCGGGAGAGGUGAGUGGAACUGCGAGUGUAGAGGUGAAAUUCGUAGAUAUUCGCAAGAACACCAGUGGCGAAGGCGGCUCACUGGCCCGGUACUGACGCUGAGGUGCGAAAGCGUGGGGAGCAAACAGG